UGCUGUCUAUGAUGAUUUUGAAAUAUCAAUGGGAAUCUCUCUGAAUGAUAAUGAGGGAACACUUUACACUGAGCCAGUA
rnacentral:snoRNA from 1 species